rnacentral:rRNA from 1 species
GACGAACGCUGGCGGCGUGCUUAACACAUGCAAGUCGAACGGAAAGGCCCCUUCGGGGGUACUCGAGUGGCGAACGGGUGAGUAACACGUGGGUGAUCUGCCCCUGACUUUGGGAUAAGCCUGGGAAACUGGGUCUAAUACCGGAUAUGACCAAGGACUGCAUGGUUUUUGGUGGAAAGCUUUUGCGGUUGGGGAUGGGCCCGCGGCCUAUCAGCUUGUUGGUGGGGUAAUGGCCUACCAAGGCGACGACGGGUAGCCGACCUGAGAGGGUGAUCGGCCACACUGGGACUGAGACACGACCCAGACUCCUACGGGAGGCAGCAGUGGGGAAUAUUGCACAAUGGGCGCAAGCCUGAUGCAGCGACGCCGCGUGAGGGAUGACGGCCUUCGGGUUGUAAACCUCUUUCACCAGGGACGAAGCUUUUGUGACGGUACCUGGAGAAGAAGCACCGGCCAACUACGUGCCAGCAGCCGCAGUAAGAC